AACGCAUAUUGCGCCCGCCAGUACCCUGGCGGGCAUGCCUGUCCGAGUGUCGCUUCCACUCCGAGCAGCCUUCCGCGGAAGGAGAGCUCGCUGUUGGGGUUUUCUGCGGCUAGCCGUAGGCCUCGAAAUACAAUUGCGGAGCCUCGUUAUUCUCCCGGCGAUGUAGACUACGUGUCCGGAGCUUAGCGAAAGAGGCGACGCCUGGGACCGGCCGCCAGCGGUGGCGGACGGAGAACCUCCCGGAAAUCUUGUUGACCUCGGAUCAGGUAGGAAGACCCGCUGGACUUAA
rnacentral:misc_RNA from 1 species